ACCCGUCGUAGUCUUAACCCAUAAACCUAUNCCCGACUAGGGAUCCGGACGAUGUUUACUUAUUGACUCGUUCGGCACCUUACGAGAAAUCAAAGUGCUUGGGCUCCAGGGGGAGUAUGGUCGCAAGGCUGAAACUUAAAGAAAUUGACGGAAGGGCACCACCAGGGGUGGAGCCUGCGGCUUAAUUUGACUCAACACGGGGAAACUCACCAGGUCCAGACACAAUGAGGAUUGACAGAUUGAGAGCUCUUUCUUGAUUUUGUGGGUGGUGGUGCAUGGCCGUUCUUAGUUGGUGGGGUGACUUGUCUGCCUAAUCGCGAUAACGAACGAGACCUUAACCUGCUAAAUAGCCCGUAUUGCUUUGGCAGUACGCUGGCUUCUUAGAGGGACUAUCGGCGCAAGCCGAUGGAAGUUUGAGGCAAUAACAGGUCUGUGAUGCCCUUAGAUGUCACUGGGCUGCACGCGCGUUACACUGAUCGGAGCCAGCGAGUACUUCCUUGUCCGAAAGGUCCGGGUAAUCUUGUUAAACUCCGUCGUGC
rnacentral:rRNA from 1 species